ACUCAGUCUUUUUAUGUUCAACGUUUGACUAUCCGUCUUAUAUGAAUUUUUUUUAUGAUUAGUAUUUUCGUUGUUGUUAGAUGAUAAAACAUGAUUAAUAUUUUAUGUGUGACUUAUAUUUUUAAAUUUUUUCAUAAUUUUUUCAAAUAAGACGGAUGGUUAAACAUUAGACACGGAAACCCAG
rnacentral:pre_miRNA from 1 species